rnacentral:rRNA from 1 species
UACGUAGGGGGCAAGCGUUGUCCGGAUUUAUUGGGCGUAAAGCGCUCGCAGGUGGUCCGUUGCGUCGUGCGUGAAAUCUCCCGGCUCAACUGGGAAACUGCAUCGGAAACUGAUCGGCUUGAAGAUGGGAGAGGGUAGUGGAAUUCCCGGUGUAGUGGUGAAAUGCGUAGAUAUCGGGAGGAACACCAGUGGCGAAGGCGACUACCUGGCCCAUUCUUGACGCUGAGGCGCGAAAGCUAGGGGAGCGAACGGG